UGUAAUUGGGAAUAAGCAAAUGCAAAGUGCCAAGUAAAUGUAUUUGUAAAAAUGUAUGUGUACAGACGAAUGAAUAUAAGUAUGUACAAUUCUUAACAUCGGGAAAUUUCCAUUAAUACAAAAUUAUCGUUCGCUUAUGGGACAACUUUUAAAAAAAGCAAAACGCGUGUCAAAUAUGUAUUUUCGUCUUUCUACUGCCCGGCGUCGAACGCGUGUAGGCGAAUGAAAAUGAAAAGCAAAACAAAGCCCGAUAAACCAAAGCGUAUCCCAAAAUAAAGACAAGUCGCUGAUAUUACAAUUGAUAUUAUACAUGUUUAAAUAUGUUAAUUCGUACUGAAAUUCAACAUUAUUAGCCAAUUGUAUACAAUAACAUCUGAUAGAGUAUGUGCUCAAUACGUACCCGGGUGUAUGUAUGUAAAUACGAUAAGCAUGGGCAUAUACAUAAAUUCAUACUUUAAUGACUUUUAAUCUGCAAAUGCUGUAACUAGGGCAUCUUCUAUAUGCCCAUCUUCGUAACAAAAAACAAAUAAAGAAAAAAAAACACUAUUUUUGUAUAUGUAUAUAUAAGUAUAUUGUAUAGUCACAAAAAUCGGAAUAUGAAAUGAAAAUCAUGCAGCAUAUAAACUAAAAUACGUAUUAUAUAAAUUAUACAAAAUAUAAGGUUUUUUAUUUAUACAUAACUUUUAAACAUAAUUAUGGCCGAACGUCAUUUCACUUUUAUUUCAGUUUUAUUAUUUCUUUCAUCUCUCUUGAUUUUUUUUUACUUAAAUGCUAGCCACAUAUAACGCUUCUUUUGUCUCUUCUGUCUUUUUAUACACAAGCAAAAUAUUUCUUGAUUAUACCCAAAUCGAAUUGUUCGGAUUGACCGCCCACAUGCUGCAAUUUCAACUAUGUAUAUACACCUUUGAAAAUUCAACGCUAACUUGUAAAACAAAAGACGCCUACUGCCUACA
rnacentral:sRNA from 1 species